rnacentral:rRNA from 1 species
GUGGUUCAUGACUGGGGUGAAGUCGUAACAAGGUAGCGCUAGGGGAACCUGGCGCUGGAUCACCUCCUUACACGAAGAU